rnacentral:lncRNA from 1 species
GAGGAAGAGGAGGAGGAGGGAAGUAGGAGGAAGAGGAGGAAGGGAGCAGGAGGUAUCUGUGGGCUCUCAUUGCCCAGUUUCGUCCUCUGUGGGGAAGGCCGGUGGGAGCCUGUCACGGCUCAUUGGUCUCUGCGCUGCCUGGCGGCUUUCACACAAUAGCAGGUUUCAGUAGCUGUGGGAGAGCCCCCAUGGCCCUUGAAGAUUAAGGUAUUUCCCAUCUGGGUCUUUAUGGAAGACGUUUUCUGGCCCAACUCUACCCUGUAGUACCCCCCAACAUCCCCUGGGUCCCCUCCCCCAUGUCCCAGCAUCCCCCGCGUCCUCUCCUCUGUGUCCGGGCAUCCCCUGCGUCCCCUGCGUCCUCUCCCCUGUGUCCCGGCAUCCCCC